AGCACUGUAUGGUAUCUGCAGACAGCUGUUUUCCCCAGGCUGGCCUGUUCAUUACUCAGUGCGAGAGCAACUCAGCAUCUGGCAUCGUUGGUCUCCAUGCCUUUCCGUGCUUUGGAGUCCUGGUAUUUCUGCUGAGACAAGC